UCCGGUUUGACCCCGGCAGUCUCCCAUGAGUCCCCACCAUUACGUGCUGGCAACAUGGAACGAGGGUUGCGCUCGUUGCGGGACUUAACCCAACAUCUCACGACACGAGCUGACGACAGUCAUGCACCACCUGUGCACAGGCCCCGAAGGGCUGCCGUGUUUCCACGACAUUCCUGUGCAUGUCAAGCCCAGGUAAGGUUCUUCGCGUUGCGUCGAAUUAAACCACAUGCUCCGCUGCUUGUGCGGGCCCCCGUCAAUUCCUUUGAGUUUUAGCCUUGCGGCCGUACUCCCCAGGCGGGGAACUUAAUGCGUUAGCUUCGGCACGGACGGAGUCGACACCGCCCACACCUAGCGCCCAUCGUUUACGGCGUGGACUAC
rnacentral:misc_RNA from 1 species